rnacentral:rRNA from 1 species
GUGCCAGCCGCCGCGGUAAUACCGGCAGCCCGAGUGAUGGCAGAUCUUAUUGGGCCUAAAGCGUCCGUAGCUGGCCGGACAAGUCCGUUGGGAAAUCCACCCGCUUAACGGGUGGGCGUCCAGCGGAAACUGUCCGGCUUGGAGCCGGAAGACCUGAGGGGUACGUCCGGGGUAGGAGUGAAAUCCCGUAAUCCUGGACGGACCACCGGUGGCGAAAGCGCCUCGAGAGGACGGACCCGACAGUGAGGGACGAAAGCCAGGGUCUCGAACCGGAUUAGAAACCCGAGUAGUCC